rnacentral:rRNA from 1 species
GACGAACGCUGGCGGCGUGCUUAACACAUGCAAGUCGAACGGAAAGGCCCUGCUGUUGUGGGUUGCUCGAGUGGCGAACGGGUGAGUAACACGUGAGUAACCUGCCCUUGACUUUGGGAUAACUUCAGGAAACUGGGGCUAAUAACGGAUAGGAGCUCCUGCUGCAUGGUGGGGGUUGGAAAGUUUCGGCGGUUGGGGAUGGACUCGCGGCUUAUCAGCUUGUUGGUGGGGUAGUGGCUUACCAAGGCUUUGACGGGUAGCCGGCCUGAGAGGGUGACCGGCCACAAUGGGACUGAGAUACGGCGCAGACUCCUACGGGAGGCAGCGGUGGGGAAUAUUGCACAAUGGGCGGAAGCCUGAUGCAGCAACGCCGCGUGCGGGAUGACGGCCUUCGGGUUGUGAACCGCUUUCGCCUGUGACGAAGCGUGAGUGACGGUAAUGAGUAAAGAAGCACCGGCUAACUACGUG